UACGGGGGGGGCAAGCGUUGUUCGGAUUUACUGGGCGUAAAGGGCGCGUAGGCGGCCCGCCAAGUCACUUGUGAAAUCUCCGGGCUUAACCCGGAGCGGCCAAGUGAUACUGACGGGCUGGAGUGCGGAAGGGGCCACCGGAAUUCUCGGUGUAGCGGUGAAAUGCGUAGAUAUACGGAGGAACACCAGGGGCGAAGGCGGAUCGCUGGGCCAACACUGACGCUGAGAAGCGAAAGCAUGGGGAGCGAACAGG
rnacentral:rRNA from 1 species